CACCCAAGAACAACUAGAGAGACUAUAGACCAACUAUCUGGUCCUCCUACUCCGAUGGUGCAACAGCUUACUCCAAUGGAAAGGGAGGCUAGGGUCCUGAGAUACAGAGAGAAGAAGAAGACAAGGAAAUUUGACAAGACAAUAAGGUAUGCUUCAAGAAAGGCAUAUGCAGAGAUACGACCAAGAAUCAAGGGCAGAUUCGCAAAAAGGAUAGAAAUUGAAGCUGAGGCUGAAGAAAUCUUCUCAGCAUCGCUAAUGUCUGAGACUGGAUAUGGAAUUGUUCCUUCCUUCUGAACUACUAUGGUGAAGAUGGACUAGACUGCAUGCUGUAAAUUACUUCUAUUUUGGAUGCCUACAAGUUAUUACCACAGUUACGCAUAUGAAUCCUAGUUUUGUUAAUUUUGUCUAAACUAUUAUGAGUUAAUUAGAUAUGUUCCUAUUAGCUGCACUAGUUUAAGGAAAGCAACAUUUCUCUACAUAGUUUAAAAAUGAAAUGGUGAAAUCUUAUUAUCUUGAACAGUGCCUAUCACUCUAAUUGAAUUGGUGCCACAUGAAAGAGAUAUGCAUCACUAUGAUUAGCUGUAAGUAGAAAACUAAAAGCAGAUUUCACACGUUGUCACUUCACAAGAAAGACGACACCUAAGUUCAAAGUAAAUACCUUUGAUUAUUUUCUAGCAGUAGAAUCUUCAGUUUCUUGACACGUUCAAGAUCACUGAACAUGUAAAUUGCAGGAAAAUUCAACUUAUGCCAACUCAUUCCCUGAGCAAGGAUUAGUCAGAAUAACAUGAUUUGUAAAUUAAACUGAUAACAUGGACCAACAUUGUCCACACAAAUUUAAGAAACUCCAAAAUUUAGCAUGCAAAUCAGCAUCAAUUGGUCAUUUUCGGCUAAUGGGAAUACAUUUACUUAACGUAUUCAGCCAGCUACUAGAACAGGAUGUUGAUGCCUAUGCCAAAUACAAGAAAACGAAGAUAAUUCUCUCCCUCUCUUUACCUUUUGGAAUAAAGGACUAUACUUUCUCACUUUUCAUGGUAAGUGCUGAAAAGAAAGGAUGAUAACCACAUUUUAACCAAGCAUUACUGGUUUCACAUCUGGGAAUGUUCAAAGAGAUCAUAGCGAAGAAACUCCAAUUAGUAUUUAUUGCUAUAAAAUGAUAACCACAUUUUAACCAAGCAUUACUGAGUUCAUACUUCCUAGUAUGCCUCUAGAACAAGAUAAAGUUGUACAUAUUAUUACCUCAUCAAUGAGUCGUCCAAGUUACUCCCAACACGAGCAUUCUGUUUUCUUGUCACAUUUACGGUAAGACAAGGAUGUCUAUGGAAUUGAAGGAAAAGAAACUGGCACGGCCCUGAGCGGUAAGACAGAACAUCAAUGGUGAAGCUCCCGCACAAUUGGAGGACUUUAUCCUAGUCUCUGUACAAAAGAAAGAGUACAUUGACUUAAAUCAUACUCUACAAUUUACAAACAAAAAAGAUCAUUAUAAUGACGAAGUCCCCAGCAAAUAACUAAGAUCAAACUCGAGAAUUUGGGCACUGGACUGAACCACCAAAUUGAUAUCCUUCGUCAUUACUAAGUGUAGUAAACCAGUUUCCUUUUCCGUCAACUGAGAACAGUUUCCCAGACUUUCUCCUUCAUAGCUGAGAGUAAAAACCUCAGUUUCAAGAGAGAACGAAGUCGCUGAGGCAAUUCGUCGAAUACUUGGCGUAAAGGUAAAUCUCUUUCUUACAAUUCUUCAAAUUUCGCAAGUCGUACGAGAGUAAAUAAAGAGCAAUCGGCGGCGACGAUCGAUCAUCGCAAGCUUGAUUUCCCCUUCUUUUUUUUUGGCUGGGGACUCCUAAAUCGCAAUGACGAAUGAUGACGUGUACUUGUCGGAACGAAUUAUAUGGGCCGAAAAACUCACCGGAG
rnacentral:lncRNA from 1 species